rnacentral:lncRNA from 1 species
AGCUCCUAAGGUGGCGCGUCUGGAGUUUGUUCCUUCUGAUGUUCAGGUAUGUUUGGAGUUUCUUCCUUCUGCUGAGUUCGUGGUCUCACUCGCUCAGGAAUGCAGCUGCAGACCUUCACGGUGUGCCGGGGGUCCCGUCAGCUGCAGGACACGGGAGGGAUGGAGUGAAGCAGAAAGGCCCCGCCGUGACCACACUCAUCCCAGAAGAGCCUCUCUGUUGGCAUGAAAGGAAAUCACAAGGAAAGGGACUUUUCAAGGUCAGACUGCACCAGUGGAAAGUCAGCACCAGCCCCCAGGGCUCGAGGCAGCCUGUGCCCUUUCCACUAACUGUGCCAACUCUCACCAGGGGAAGGCUGACCAGGAACAAAGGCCCUUAGAGGAGAGCAGAACUCCUGCAGCCUGCACUUCCGAGAGAUCCUGCUCCACGGAGCCCGGCUCUACUCCUGCAGGCAGAACCUGCCAGCCCGCAGAUGCUGGGGGCUGAAGGAUCCCGGCGACACCAAGCGUCAGGUCAGGCGUCAGAAUCCAGCGCGUUUGCUCCUCGAGAACAGCGCGCCACCUGCUCCCAAGUGUGUGAGGGGCUGCAGUGCCGAGCUCCACUUCACAAGACUCACUCCUGCCCCGCCACCUCCUGAGCAGACGCAGUCAAGCCCGACCUACCUUUCAACAAACAUGUAUUAGCACUCCCUCCAUGCCAGGCACUGUGCCAGGUGCGAGGGUACCAUGACCAAGCCAAGGCCCCAGGCUCAGAGCACUCACACGCCAGUGGAGGGGGCAGCCCUGUGCGACCCAGCAGGGCACACCCCACCUCCAGCCUAGGCUCCACCCAGGCCUGAUCUGGGUAGCCCGGCGGACGUACUGACUCCCUGUUCACCGAUACCGUCAUCCAACCUUCCUAUUUAUUUAUACAUUAAAACACUGCAGCCAGAGCGGCGAGGUGUCCCGCCAAGAAACGGCCAAAUCCAGUUUCCUCCCCAGCCAGCCUCUCCUUAGAAGCGGCAGAACCGCUUCAACCACUAGAGGGCACCAGCCAACCCUCGAUGGAUCCAAAUGUGCCCACGUCGUGAGGGAGCCUCAGCACCGGGUCGCGGCUCCCAGCUCCACCGUCAUAGAACACGAAUAGCUUUUGUCUUUUCUCAAAAUGAGCCCUGCAGUUGAGGCAAGCUUUACAUUGGCUGCACAGACUUUACUCUUUUUAAACAUUUUUUGGGAGUCCAUAGCAGAUGUAUAUAUUUAUGGGGUAUGAGAUGUUUUGAUAUAAGCAUACAACUCAUAAUAAUCACGUCAGGGUAAAUGGGGUAUCCACCCCCUCAAGCAUCUACUCUUUCUUCGUGUGACAAACAAUCUAAUUAUACUCUUUCAGUUAUUUUUAAGUGUACAAUAAAUUAUCGUUGACUAUA